ensembl:lncRNA
AAGGGAAUGGUCCUAAGUUUGCAUCUGCUGGGGAGAAUGGCACCGUAACUAGGUUGCAUCCAGUUAGUUUCUUAGCAAAAUCCCAGAGACCAGACAAUUCUGGUGCUUGUAUUUUGCCUGUUGCUCAUGUGUGGUUGGAGAAGGGUGUAACAACUCUGUCUGAUCAGGGUGAUACCCUAGCCAGGGCACAAGGAGAGCAGAAAGGUAAUUUGGUUGUGGUACCUACGGACAGUUUAACAACUUGUAGCAAAAAGGAAAAAAUUCCUGAGCUUGUGUGUGGCAAAGAGAAGGGAAAUGUUUCUAACCUUUUAUCUAGGAAGUCUAUGGGUUUGCCUGAAAGGGGAUUGUGUAAAGAUCUGCCUGAUGGGCCAAAGGUGAUCCGGAAUGUAAGUAAGACCCAGACAGAGUCUGUUGUUGCUCAGGAAAGUGUUCCUUUAGAGCAAGCCCUAGGUGAAGAGGGUAAGGGCAGAAUUUCUGUGAGGGGUGAAUUGCUGCUUAGAAAAGCUCCUGGAGAAAGGAAUCCUCAUGGUAGUCUGGGCAAGCAGUUCCCUGCAACUGAAGGAUGUGAGAGUGAUUUAAUCAAGGAAGUUUCAGUUCCUAGCAGCCAAAAAUUGUCUGUUGUGAAUGGAUCCACUGACUUUCCUUUUAAAAGAUCCAGUGUGGGUAGCUUUGAGAAGGUCUCAGAGGAAGUAAAAGUUGUUAAGGAAUUGAGGCAGCCCUAUAAACAAGUGGCUGUGUGGGGCCAACUUGUUGGGGAGACAAUGGUGUUGGAACAGGAAUGUCUCCACUCUGAUUCUUUAAAUGAGCAGUUUGUGCUUCAGGGUUUGAGGACAGAUUUGGUUACUGAUGUGUCAGAGCAGAGCAGUUUUAUGGCUGAAUGCUUGAGGAUGCAGGGGAGAGCAAGCAAACUCUCACCCGCAGACUCUGUAGAUUUGUGUGGUAUCGCUUUAAGACAGAGUCCAGCCUUGGAAAUGAUAGCAGGUACGAAUAUGAAAACUGGUGGACUGGCUCUGGUCUGGGGUAGUGCAAAUUACUUGCCUGGCUGGGAAAGGAAGGACUUGCUAAUAGCUGUUAGCACAGAGGGCCCACCCCAUCAGCCAGUGAAUUCUGUUGAGCAAGAGAAAUCAGGGUUUGAUCCUGCAGGACAAGGAGGAAAGAGAAAACUGAAUUUUGCAAAGGGAAGCCACAGGUUAACCCUAAAAUGCCCAAACUCCAAUGGUAUUGAGCCAAAGGUGUGGCAUGACAACCAUGAUUGUAGAUGGACACUUGCAAUGAACUUGUUGUUAUUGCUAAAUUUUGUAAUGAAUGUGUUGCUAUUGCCGCAAACUGUAAAAAUGUACAAUGUGCCUAAUCUUUUGGAGAAUCCCUUGAACAUGUUAAAAGGAAUACAUGAGAACACACGUUAUGUUAAAAGGCCUUGUUACACUGGUGUUUCACAGUUCAUGCCUAUAAACAAUAUUGGAACUUUCCACAGGGGAAAAGACAUUCCAGACCUAAUGUGCUGUAGGAAAAGGAAAACUGAGGCACACU